rnacentral:rRNA from 1 species
AUUGAACGCUGGCGGCAGGCCUAACACAUGCAAGUCGAGCGAGCGGCGGACGGGUGAGUAAUGUAUGGGGAUCUGCCCGCUAGAGGGGGAUAACUACUGGAAACGGUGGCUAAUACCGCAUACUAUCGGAGCAACCCAUCUGGGAUUAGCUAGUAGGUGGGGUAAAGGCUAACCAAGGCGACGAACUCUAGCGGGUCUGAGAGGAUGAACAGCCACACUGGGACUGAGACACGGCCCAGACUCCUACGGGAGGCAGCAGUGGGGAAGAUUGCACAAUGGGGGCAAUCCUGAUGCAGCCAUGCCGCGUGUAUGAAGAAGGCCUUCGGGUUGUAAAGUACUUUCAGCGGGGAGGCGUUACCCGCAGAAGAAGCACCGGCUAACUCCGUGCCAGCAGCCGCGGUAAUAC